rnacentral:lncRNA from 1 species
GUGCAUCUCGUGUAAUUUUUAUUGAUGUAUCAUUUCUAGUGUAAUAUAAGGAUUGUCUGUGGACAAAAAAAAAGAAAAACAUCGCUUUGUGAAUUUCCAAAUGAACAGUUGUACAUAUAUCUUUCAAUAUUUUAAUUAGCCAGAAUGGUACCCGGCUCUACAUGUCCAAUACUCUGAGGUCCAAUAAUACCGGUAUAUGAAAGCGGUGAUAAGC